AUUGAAUUAACUCAGUUGGUUGAGUGUGACGCUAACAACCUCGAGGUUGCGGGUUCGAUUCCCGUUCAGUC
rnacentral:tRNA from 1 species